rnacentral:rRNA from 1 species
ACGGCUCAGUAACACGUAGUCAACCUAACUCGUGGACGUGGAUAACCUCGGGAAACUGAGAAUAAACCACGAUAGAUCAUAGUGCCUGGAAUGGCUUAUGGUCCAAACAGUUUACUGCCAUGGGAUGGGACUGCGGCCUAUCAGCUUGUUGGUGAGGUAAUGGCCCACCAAGGCGAUUACAGGUACGGGCUCUGAGAGGAGAAGCCCGGAGAUGGGUACUGAGACACGGACCCAGGCCCUAUGGGGCGCAGCAGGCGAGAAACCUUAGCAAUGUGCGAAAGCACGACUGGGUCAGUCCGAGAGAUUCCUGAUAAAGGAGUCUUUUGCUUGUCCUAAAAGCACAGGUGAAUAAGGGGUGGGCAAGUCUGGUGUCAGCCGCCGCGGUAAUACCAGCACCUCGAGUGGUCAGGACGUUUAUUGGGCCUAAAGCAUCCGUAGCCGGCUUUGCAAGUCUUCGGUUAAAUCCACCUGCUCAACAGAUGGGCUGCUGGAGAUACUACAGAGCUAGGGAGUCAGUGGCGAAGGCGGUCUGCCAGAACACGUUCGACGGCGAGGGAUGAAAGCUGGGGGAGCAAACCGGAUUAGAUACCCGGGUAGUCCCAGCUGUAAACGAUGCAAACUCGGUGAUGCAUUGGCUUAUGGCCAAUGCAGUGCCGCAGGGAAGCCGUUAAGUUUGCCGCCUGGGAAGUACGGACGCAAGUCUGAAACUUAAAGGAAUUGGGAGAGGCAGACGGUAUUCAGUGGGUAGGGGUAAAAUCCUCUGAUCCAUUGAGGACCACGGCGGGGGAGCAC